GGGCAGGUGGCCGAGUGGUUUAAGGCAGCGGUCUUGAAAACCGCCGUGGGUGAAAAUCCACCGUGGGUUCGAAUCCCACCCUGCCCGCCA
rnacentral:tRNA from 1 species